CGUGUCUCACCUUGAAUCUCCACCUAGUGACAACCACGAACUUGAGUGUGUGGUCCUUGCCCAGGAUCUCCUCGUUGCAUAAAAUGUCCAGCUGGGGGAUAAGGAGGUUUGAUUAGCAGCGGAGAGGUGCUCAACCCACACUGACAUGGCCACCUUGAUGCUGGCCCCAUCACACCCUGUCUACCACACCUGCCGUACUGAGCAACGGGAAGAGGUGGUUUGCAGCCCCAUGAGCAGCCCUGACAGCUCCGGAAUCGGGCACCCUGGUUCCCCAGGUGGCACAGGUGCCUGAGAGGCCCAUAGGGCCGAAGUGUUUCCCUCCCCAUCCCACCCAGGCCCAGUCCACACCAGCCCCCUCCCACGGCUGCAGCCUCCAGGGGCACCCUCUCCCCACAGGCCCUACCUCCGGUCCAGGCUGUCCCUCCCUCUCACCAUAGUGCAAAAAUGCACUAGGCUCCCCAGUCUUUUAAAAAAAUUAGACUUUUUAAAGAACAAUUUAAGGUUUACAGCAAAAUUGAGAGGAAGGUACAGGGAGUUCCCGUCCCCCUUGGAACCCCCCUGCCACCAACACCCUGCAUGGGGGCACAUUAGUCACCACCCAGGAACCUGCACUGACAUCACCUCCACCGAGUCCAGAGCGGAUGUCAGGUCGCCCUGGUGGCACAGCCACAGGUGGACAAACAGCAGCAUCGCCGCCCAGGAGCCCUGUGCCCGCCCACUCCUACUACCCUCCUCAAGCCCCUGCAGCCUCCGGAUGGUUCUGCCUUUUCCAGUGCGCCAUGCUGCAGAGCUGGAGUCGCACGGCCUACAGCCUUUUCAGAGGGGCUUCUCUACUUAGUAACAGGGACUUGAUGUUUCUCCCA
rnacentral:lncRNA from 1 species